GUGAGACGAUAAAUUCCUGCUGCUUUCAGCCGGAGGCUCAUGCCCACUACAGGCACAUACCUGCCGUCAAGACCAUGGAAGGUUUGGGGCUCCAGGCAUAGAUGUGAAUGGCUCUCAGACAUCUGCAGGUCACCCUCCCAGACCCCUCCGUGGCCGCACAGCAGGGCGCGCGGGCGGCAGGAGCCGCGUCAGGACCGGACUCCGGGAGGGGAGACCACCCCCAGCGGCGCCUGCACUGCAAACCACGCCCCUGCGUGACCCUUCAAACACGUGUUUUCAUGGUCUUUUCACUAGAACGCUUCACGUCCACAGACCCCGAGAUGCAUCACUUCCAUCUGUGAAACCCACGGGGGAAGGAGUGGAAUCAGACAGACAUGACUCACCUGACGGGGAGAAUAAGGCGCGUCUAGCAACAUGACUUGGAAAUACCUGAACUCUAGAACAACAAAGGUGAGGAGGCUGGAUCCUACCUCUAAAGGGAAGGAUGUUAACAAAAUCCCAACAAAGAUGCAGAAAGAGGGAGGAAACCAUCGCUGGCCUCCGUUCCUUGUUCCUCGAGGCAGAGGGGUGUCCUCGGAGCCCAGGCCAGCCUUGGCCUCGCUCGGGGCCUGGAUGAAGGAAGAACCGUGUCUACAUUUCCCUGUACACCUUUCUCGUCGAUCUCAUCUCUCAUUUCAUCUUCAAGGCGCAGCUCACAAUCCCCAUUUGUCGUCGGACCCCCAUCCCCACGCCUGUCUGUGGCGUUACUGUCGUUUC